GAUGAACGCUAGCGGGAGGCCUAAUACAUGCAAGUCGAGCGGUAGAGUGACUUCGGUUGCUUGAGAGCGGCGAACGGGUGAGUAACGCGUACACAAUCUACCUUUAAGAGGGGAAUAGCCCUGGGAAACUGGGAUUAAUGCCCCAUGGCAUCACGAAGUGGCAUCGCUUUGUGAUUAAAGCUGAGGUGCUUAGAGAUGAGUGUGCGUCUGAUUAGCUAGUUGGUGCGGUAACGGCGCACCAAGGCGACGAUCAGUAGGGGGCGUGAGAGCGUGGACCCCCACACGGGUACUGAGACACGGACCCGACUCCUACGGGAGGCAGCAGUGGGGAAUAUUGGACAAUGGGCGAAAGCCUGAUCCAGCCAUGCCGCGUGUGUGAAGAAGGUCUUCGGAUUGUAAAGCACUUUAAGUGGGAGAAGGGCAGUAAGUUAAUACCUUGCUGCUUUGACGUUACCGACAGAAUAAGCACCGGCUAACUCUGUGCCAG
rnacentral:rRNA from 1 species